GAUGAAGAACGCAGCGAAAUGCGAUACUUGGUGUGAAUUGCAGAAUCCCGUGAACCAUCGAGUCUUUGAACGCAAGUUGCGCCCGAAGCCACUAGGCCGAGGGCACGCCUGCCUGGGCGUCACACGCCGUUGCCCCCCCAUCUACUCCUUCGGGAUUGCGGGGGGGCGGAUGAUGGCCUCCUGUGCGCCUAGCCGCGCGGUUGGCAUAAAUACCAAGUCCUCGGCGACGCACGCCACGACAAUCGGUGGUUGCGAAACCUCGGUUGCCCGUCGUGUGCGUUCGUCGCGCAUCGAGGGCUCGAAAAAAUGCUCGGCUCCGGCUGGGCUUUCAACGCGACCCCAGGUCAGGCGGGGUUACCCGCUGAAUUUAAGCAUAUCAAUAAGCAGAGGA
rnacentral:misc_RNA from 1 species